rnacentral:rRNA from 1 species
UACGUAGGUGGCAAGCGUUGUCCGGAUUUACUGGGUGUAAAGGGAGCGCAGGCGGGACAGCAAGUUGGAUGUGAAAUACCGGAGCUUAACUCCGGAGCUGCAUCCAAAACUGUUGUUCUUGAGUGAAGUAGAGGUUGGCGGAAUUCCGAGUGUAGCGGUGAAAUGCGUAGAUAUUCGGAGGAACACCAGUGGCGAAGGCGGCCAACUGGGCUUUAACUGACGCUGAGGCUCGAAAGCAUGGGGAGCAAACAGG